CCUCCGUCUAGUUCCAUCUCGUCUCUAGAUCUCUAUGUAUAUAUAUAUAUAAUAUUAUAUAUAUAUUAUAUAUAUAUUAAUAUUUAUAUUUAUAUAUUGUACGCGUACAUUGUAUAUACGUGUACUUGUACGGAAAUGUCUUCAAUGAAGAGGGCGCUGGCUUGACGUUGAAUAGGAAGUGUUAUUAGCUACCUAUUUAUGGAAAGUAGGGGGCAGAUCGAGUUUGAGCUGAGGUUAGAUAUGCUGUUAUUCCUCGAAUGGAACAGUUGAAUUUGUUUAUGUAAGUUAUCCUUUCAUCUUGAAUUUAACUAAUAUUAUCAGAAUCAAUUAAAGUUUAAAAAUUGAAGUAAUUCGAAGAUGUAUAAUAUUGUGAGAAUUGUCUUAUUUUCCAAAAGUUUCAAAAAGAAGAAUAGGAAAAGAAUUGAACAAUCUUGAUCAUUAACAGAUUUUUCCUUUUUCUUAUUAUUAAAAUUGCAGGUUAAAAUAUACAUUUUUGUAUUAUCUAGGAAGUUAUUAAUUUUUUUUGUUAAAUUUUUAUUUUUAAUAUAAAAAUAAUUCUAAUUUGUAAUAUAAAUUUAAUUACAUUUAAAAUAUAAAACAGAAUUUUAUACAUAUGAUUCAAAGAAUGUUUCUGAAUUAAAUAUUACAUAAAUAUUUUUGUUUGCUAUAUGCGUUGGUUUGUUAUUAUUAUAUUUGAUUUGAAUUAUCUAAAUGAAUAGCAAAUUUGAUUUUAUCACAUAAUAUUAAAAAACAUUCUAUAAAAAGUACAAUCUAAAGUACAAAUAUUAAAUUUAAUAUUUCUCGACAAAAUAUUUUUUAAUAUAAAUGUUUUUUUGAAGUUUUUUAAAAUGUAUAUUGCAUUUUUUAUUCAAACACAAGCCAGUGUCCUUCGUUUGAAGAUAUUCUGCUUAUGCAUAGUGUUAAAUUACAGUUCUUAAAGAUUUUUUACAACUGCAAAAAAUAAAAAUAAAAAUUAUUAGUUAUUUUAAGGAUUUUUUAUAUGUUAGAAUUUAUUAGAAUAUAUUAUAAUUUAUCAUUUGAAAAGAAAUGUAUAAUAUAAGAAAUAUAUAAAAUUUUUGUAUGUAUAAUACAAUAUAAAUUUUAUAGUUUCUAAAAUAUUAAUAUUUUUUAAUUUUACACUAUGCAUUAAAUAUUAUAAUAAUAGGAAACCGUGAUACAACCGCAAAUAAAUUUCUCCAUCAAAUUUAAUUAAAAUCAAAUAAUUAUUUCUCUGUAAAGAUUCAUCUAUAUUUACUUAAAAAUGAAAUCAUUAUUUAAUGAUUAAAAAAUUAAAAAGUAUUAUAAUUAAUAUGUCACAAAGAUGAAUUAUUUUGUUAUUCAAAUAAAUCAUUUUCGAUAGUAUCACGAUUUUCCCAUCUAUUAUCUUAUAUUUAUCUGUGGCCGGCUGAAAAUCGUUUAUGUUUUUUGCAUGGCAUAUUUCUCUGAUUGCGCAUCGACGAUCGAGAAUUUUUCAUUGUUUAACGCUUUGCUGGUCUAGGUUAGGUAUAUUUCUAUUUUUCAUAUUUCAAAUUACGCGCUAAAAUCUAAUCUGAACUUCCGAAUCUUUUACUGACGCCGAGAUAACAUCCAUUGUUUAUUCGACAUAAAAAUUAAAAUGAUAUGUGUAAUCGAGAGUUUAUUCAUAGUUUUGAAAAUUGCUGGAAACAUGAAGUUGCGAAAUGGAAUAUAUUCAUUUGUAAAAUUGAAUAUUGUUUUGUACAUUGCACAAUAUUAGAAUUGGAAAAAUUAGGUAUAUUUCUUCGUCGAUAAAUAUGCGCUGUUAUAAGUUUAGAGUUGCGUAUCAUGUUCAAUGUUUAUCAGCAAUUUUCUUUUUAAUUUUUAUAACACGUUAUUUUAAAUCAUUAUUCUUUCGUUCAAUCUUUUUUUUAAUUAUCUUUUUUGAUUACAAAAGCUUGAAAUUUUUUUUUUAAGUUUUGACAAUUUAAAAAAUAAUUCAAUGUAAAAUAAUUAUUUUUUCUUUACUUUUUUUCAUUUUGAUUACUAUUGAUAUACAAGUAUUUUAUUAUUAUAAAAUUCAAUAUACCUAUGAUUGAGAAAUUUAAAGAUUAAUAAUUUCUUUUUCUGAUUAAUCUUAUAAUGUAAUCUUUGAAUUCUAUACAUCAAUGUUAUUUUCUAAUAAUACUACGUAGAAUAAAAUGACGAUUCCAGAGAUGGUUAUCAUACGUUGAACUUUAUAAAAUAACCUGAAACAUCAUAGAAGAAGUAUUAUACAAUGAUUACAAAUAUUAUUCAAUGAUUUAGAAUAUGCAAGUUUUUCAUUCUCGCAUUAACCCAAUGCUUAAAACUACCAAGAACCGGCCACGAGAAUACGAUAUAUUGCAAAACAUGUUCGAGCAAUGACCGGCAGCGAUUAAGCAAAAAUAGAGGGCGCGGAAGAAACUUAUCCGAUUACACUAUUAUGGCGACAUCUCGUGGAAGCGAUCAAACAAAAUAUAAAAGCGCGAAGUCAAGCAAGAUUUCUCGAACAUACAUAUUCCAGUUUGCUCAAGAUCAUCUUAAUCAACAGAAAUUCAAUAGAAAUUUUGAGAGUUUUUACAAGAUUUCAUUAGGUAAAUAGAAUAAAGAUCAAAGUUCUGACAAAGUUAAAAAUUUUGAAUACUUGAGGCUAUUCAUUUAUUACAUGAACUAGGUUAGAAAGGAGAAAUAGAAGGAGAAUUGGGCUAAAUAUAAUAAGAAAUCUGCACUUUUAAUAAAUUAAGAUAUCGUUAUUUUUUUCUCCAAUUAAAUAGUGAUCUUUUAAAUUAGAUUUAAAAUUUUUAAAAAUUGUUUCAUUUUUUUCUUAUAAUUGAUAAAGUAUUGAUAAAGAAUAAAUGUUCCAAACGAAACAAAUAUAAAAAUAAAUAAGAAUAAUCGGAAUAAAGAAAUAAGUAUUAAUUUUAUGUUACAAAAUGAAAAAAAAAUGAUUUGAUAUAAUUUUAAACAAUAGAUAACAAACAAUAGAAAUUUAUUUUAUAAUAUAAUAAAUAACAAGAAAUUGGCCUCGAGCAAUCGAGAUAUUUUUUGACUUUGUCGUAGUUUUUAAUGGAUGUUCUAUGAUUUUGCGAUCUCUGGUUAAAACUGGCAAUAACUACGAAUAACUGGCGAAACUACGAAAAAAGCAAAAGGUAAAAGAUGACGAACAGAAUUUGAUUGGGAAAGCAAGGUUGGCCAGUUUUUACCAUAUAAGCGCAGCUUGUUUUCAAUGGCAUGAGCUUUUAUAACAUAUAGAAAAAGAUUGAUGCUUUGAUGAGCAUAUAUAUGGCUGAAUUUUGUGCCUCUUUGGUUAUAUUGCAUGCGAAUAAAACAUUUUAGCGGUUGAUAGGAAAUUGAUUAAACACUCUCUUGUUAAAUUUUCAAUAUAAAGUAAAACACUUGUAUUUUUUCUAACUAUCUCAUAGUUUAUUAUAUUCCAUUAUUUAUUAUUAUUUAUUAUUAUUUAUUAUCGAAUAGAUUCAUUUAUUUAUGUAAUCAAAAUCUAAUUAUAAAUAAUAUUACUUCUAUAUAAUUUUUUACUAGUGUAUUUCAUUUUUAAUUUUCUCGAUAAAAUUUUUCUCAAGAUUAAAAAUCUAUUACUAAAAUAUCAAAGUCAAAUGUGAAGUAUCAUCAAUUAAAUUCACAAAAAGUUUUAAAAAAUCAUUUUCCAAAAACAUAAAUAAAAUAAAUCCACGUUCUUGAUUGACUUAAAAUUUAAGAUAUAAAAAAAAUUAAAAAAUCUAUUCAUUAAAAAAAAAAA